rnacentral:lncRNA from 1 species
UCUUACUUAAGAAAUAUGUUUCAGGUAGCUACAGCUUCAAUAGAUAGUGAUUCAUCUGAUGAGUCUGGGAAAAGUUGAACACCUGGAAAAGAUUCACCAUUCUAGAUGCCGUUAAGAAUGCUUAUUAGUCACUGGAGGAAGUCAAAAUAUCAACAUUAACAAGAGUUUGGAAGAAGUUGAUUCUUCUUCCUUAUAGAUGACUUUGAGAGAUUCAAGACUUUGGUGGAGGAAGGAAUGGCAGAUGUGAUAGAAAUAGCAAGAGAACUAGAAUUAGAAGUGGCAUCCGAUGAUGUGACUGAAUUUCUACAAUAUCGAGAUAAAACUUGAAGAGAUGAAGAGUUGCUUCCAAUGGUUGAGCAAAGAAAGUGAUUUCUUGAGAUGAAAUCUACUUCUGGGAAGGACAUUUUGAAUGUUGUUAAAAUAACGAAGGAUUUAGAAUAUGACAAACUUAGUUGAUAAAGCAGUGACGAAGUUUGAGAAGACUGACUCCAAUUUCGAAAGAAGUUCUACUGUGGGUGAAAUACUAUCAAACAGAUCAUAUGCUAUAGAUAAAUCUUUCACAAAAGGAAGAGUCAAUUGAUGUGGCAAAUUUUAUUAUUGUUUCAUCUCAAGAGAUUUUGUAACAGUCAACUCAGCCUUUAGCAACCAACAUGUUGAUCAGUCAGCAGCCAUCAACAUCAAGGCAAGGCCCUCCCCCAGCGAAAAAGAUGACAACUCACUGAAGGCUCAGAUGAUCAUUAGCAUUCUUUUAGCAACAAAUAUUUUUAGGCUGCACCUGGUGGCUCACGCCUGUAAUCCCAGCAUUUGGGAGGCUGAGGAUUACAGGUAUGAGCCACUGUACCUUGGGUGGGGAGCAGUUGCUGAAGUAGAUAAAACCUAUAGUUCUCACAAGUUCUUUACUCAUCUAUGCAAAGGUCCAGGAGGAAAAUGAAAAUAUAAGAGAGAAAGAAGGAAACAGACUUGGUUGGACAGGCCAUUCUUACCCUCCAGAUUAAGCAGAACUAAGAUGGUCUCUUGAGUGCCCAAUCCCUUGCUUCAAAUACAGUUGCAUCCGACAUUCCAGACACAUGGAUAUCAAUGUAUAACAGAUUAAAAUUCUGCAUUGUAGUAUUGCAUUAAAAACUAGAACACUGAGGCCUCACCCAGUCCCUCCCCGGUCCCGCCCCGAGAGCAAAGGGCGCUGCCCAAAGCCGGACAGGUCUAGCGGCUGGCCUGUGUGAAAUCGCGCGGCUCCCUCCCACGCAGUGUUGUGAGUGA